rnacentral:rRNA from 1 species
CAGCCGCCGCGGUAAUACGUAGGGUGCAAGCGUUAAUCGGAAUUACUGGGCGUAAAGCGUGCGCAGGCGGUUAUAUAAGACAGAUGUGAAAUCCCCGGGCUCAACCUGGGAACUGCAUUUGUGACUGUAUAGCUAGAGUACGGCAGAGGGGGAUGCAAUUCCGCGUGUAGCAGUGAAAUGCGUAGAUAUGCGGAGGAACACCGAUGGCGAAGGCAAUCCCCUGGGCCUGUACUGACGCUCAUGCACGAAAGCGUGGGGAGCAAACAGGAUUAGAUACCCGAGUAGUCCCUGUCUCUUAUAA